UCUGGGUCUUCCAACUACUUCUGGUGCCCAGGGAAGGCCAGCUGACACUGUCACAUACUAUUCUUCCCAGGGUGGUGCGAAGGAUGUCAAAAUGUUCUCCAUCUCCCUUUCAUCAUUAUGUCACGUAGAUGUGAGGCUUCUAUAAUUUCAUCUUAGCUCUUUCGAGGUUUACCAUAUUUUGAUUGGGCAUUUGUGGAACCACUUAAGGAUAUUGACGUCCAAUUCCAGAGUGAUGUGCAUAUAACUAAAAUAACAACCCCACUUAUCAUUCUUCAUGCACACGACGACCGAGUUAUUCCAUUUGAUCUUGGUAAAAAGUUACAUGAAGCUGGUCAGAAUGGAAGAUCUCCUGAGCACCCCAUUAGUUUCAUAGAGUUUAAAGCAGAAUUGGGCUAUGGUCACAACUAUAUUGCAAAAGCCCCAGAACUGACAUCAAUCAUAAGGGAUUUCAUCAAGUCUGCACAGAAGAGUAUUUAAGCAAAAACUCCAUGAAAGUAUUUAACUUGAGUAAGUAAUUUUAAAAGGAACACUUUCAAUAGAAAACAUGUUUACAAUUAUAUAAUUUAUGUAAUAAAUGUUAGAGAUUUAUGUGAUAAUUUAUGCUUGUAAAUGGUUACAUUUUCGAAGGUCUUAAGCUGUCUGUAUAUUUUGUUGUUUUUUUAUGCUUUAGCAUAUGUUUUAUAGCCUUUUUUUGUACAGUUGGGAAUAUUGCAGUUAAUAAUGUACAAAUUUUAUGAAGUUUUGU